AUGGAAGAGACACUACAUAUUAGAUAUAUAAUAAGAAGAUGUAUUUUAGAAGGCAAUAUAAUAAAUGCAUUAAAUAUAUUAGAACAACAUUAUUUACAUUUAUUUACAAACAAACGUGCUUGUUUUAACAUUGCUAUGUUAUAUACACAACAAUUGAUAGAAAUAUUAAAACCAAACAAAAAGUUUAUAAAAAAAAGCAUUUCGAAAAAAAAGGAACAGCUAGAAGAUAAAGGAAAAGAUAAAAAAAGAAAAAAAAAAUUAACUAAAAAAGAAAAAAAAAAAUAUAAUGAUAAUAAUAGCAAUAGUAACAAAAAAAAAAAAAAAAAAAAAAAUUAUAUAUAUACAACUUAUAACGAAGAGGAUGAAGAUUUAUAUGCGGAAGAACGUAGUCAUAAAUCUUAUAAUACGUUAAGUGAUGACCAUUAUUACGAUGAUAUUAAAACUCAACAUGAUUCAUCUGAUAGUUUUUUUUGUGAAAGUUCAGAUGAUGAGGAAGAAAGAAGAAAAAUAAGAACAAGAACAAGGUGGAGAACUAAGCUUACAAGUAGUAGGCUUAAUAAAAAAAAAAAAAAUGGAAAAUCUAAAUGGCUAGAUGGUGCAGGUGACGGUUGUGUGGGUAAGUAUGAUAGUAGCAAUAGUAGCAGUAGUAAUACUGGCAGUAGUGAUAGUGGCAGUAGUGAUAGUAGUGACAGUACUGGGAGUAGAAAUAGUAGUGACAGUAGUAACUGUAGCGACAGUAGUAACAGCAAUAGUAAUAUUAACAUAUACAAUGAAAACAUCUGCAAUGACAAAAGUGUAAACAAUUUUGAAAAAAUAAAAAAUUCAAAAAAAGAAAAGCAUAAUAAUAAUAAUAUGAUAAUAACUCCCAAUACGAACUUAUUAAAAGAAGCAACAGCUACAGAUAAUAAUAUUAAUAAUAAUAACUUGUCAUGUUUUAUUGCUGGUACUAAUGAUAAUUAUAAAAGAGAUACUAAUAACAAAAAAACAGAUAUUAAAAAUUUGGAUAAAAAUGGUGUAGAGCCAAAUGAUAAUAACAGCCGUGACAACAACAAUAAAAACAAUAUUAACUUAGAAGAAAAGAAAAUUGAACAAUUAAUACUUAAAAGCAUUCAAUGCAAUUACAAUGAUGAAUUCUAUAAAAAAAAUAAUUUACAAGAAGAAUAUGCAUCCCAUUACAAUCAUUUAUCAAAGGAGUUUGACUUUUUUAAAGAAGACAAUCCAUAUAAUUAUAAUCAUAAUAACAAUCGUUAUAAAAAAAUGUAUAAAAAAAAAAGUGUACAUGGACAAAAAGAAGAACCAGAACAAGAACAAGUAGUAGAAAUAGGAAAAAAAAAAAAAAAAAAGAUGAUAACAUAUCUAUUAGCUCAAGUGAAAAUGACAAUAAUACAGAUUAUGAUAGCAACAAUUCAAAUAUUGAUGAAAAUCAUUACGAAUUUAAUGAUAUAA
rnacentral:lncRNA from 1 species